GAAUAUUGGGCAAUGGGCGAAAGCCUGACCCAGCAACGCCGCGUGAGGGAAGAAGGUUUUCGGAUUGUAAACCUCUGUCCCAUGGGACGAAAAAAAUGACGGUACCAUGGGAGGAAGCCCCGGCUAACUACGUGCCAGCAGCCGCGGUAAUACGUAGGGGGCGAGCGUUGUCCGGAAUGACUGGGCGUAAAGGGCGCGUAGGCGGCUUUUUAAGUUUGGAGUGAAAGUCCUGCUUUCAAGGUGGGAAUUGCUUUGAAAACUGGAGAGCUUGAGUGCGGAAGAGGUAAGUGGAAUUCCCAGUGUAGCGGUGAAAUGCGUAGAGAUUGGGAGGAACACCAGUGGCGAAGGCGACUUACUGGGCCGUAACUGACGCUGAGGCGCGAAAGCGUGGGGAGCGAACA
rnacentral:rRNA from 1 species